AAGCUACUCGAGAGCUAUUAUGAGAAACUACAAGAAAAGCAGCUAGUGAACACCAUCCACCGCCAAUUCUUAUAUCAACGAAAAGUGGAAUUAAUCGAUAAAUUAUAACGCCUUCACAGCUAAAGGACGAGCGUGCUCGGUGACUGGGUUCGAGCUCACGACACAUAGAUUAGGAGUCGACUGCCCUAACCACAAGGACAACGAAAGUAGUCACUUUUAAACGCUGUACAAUUAAGGAUCGUGUGACUAGUUCACUCUACGUCGUACAGGUUUUAUGUGCAAACCGACUUCCCCAGUUCAGUAAAAACAGCGAGGAAUAAAUUUGAGAGAUGACAUUUUGUAAAGAACCGCAUCUUGAACGGAACCAAUGCGAUUAUUACAAUCGAUGGCUACACAAAGACUGAAGAUUGUGCCGGGAUUUUGAAUCCUUACUCAAAGAAGUACACGAGCAUUUUAAUUAUGUGGCUAUAAAAAUUGUGCAUACAUUAUAAGAUCUUCAAAGAAUUGUAGUCAUGUUUCAAAAAUAAAUAAAAAAAUCAUUUCGUUUCUCUUCAGAA